rnacentral:tRNA from 1 species
GCAACAGUGGUCUAACGGUUAUGAUCCGGUCUUCCCAUUUGUGUGUGGCCGGGAAAGGGGUUCGACUCCCCUCUGCUGCA